GACUGCGUAGCUCAGUUGGAAGAGCAUUGGGCUAGUAUUCCAAAGGUCGUAGGUUCGAAUCCUACCGUGACCG
rnacentral:tRNA from 1 species